UACGGAGGGGGCUAGCGUUGUUCGGAAUUACUGGGCGUAAAGCGUGCGCAGGCGGUUCUAUAAGACAGAUGUGAAAUCCCCGGGCUCAACCUGGGAACUGCAUUUGUGACUGUAGAGCUGGAGUACGGUAGAGGGGGAUGGAAUUCCGCGUGUAGCAGUGAAAUGCGUAGAUAUGCGGAGGAACACCGAUGGCGAAGGCAAUCCCCUGGACCUGUACUGACGCUCAUGCACGAAAGCGUGGGGAGCAAACAGG
rnacentral:rRNA from 1 species